AGUGGCGGACGGGUGAGUAACGCGUGGGUAACCUGCCUCAUACAGGGGGAUAACAGUCAGAAAUGACUGCUAAUACCGCAUAAGACCACGGUACCGCAUGGUACAGUGGUAAAAACUCCGGUGGUAUGAGAUGGACCCGCGUCUGAUUAGGUAGUUGGUGGGGUAACGGCCUACCAAGCCGACGAUCAGUAGCCGACCUGAGAGGGUGACCGGCCACAUUGGGACUGAGACACGGCCCAG
rnacentral:rRNA from 1 species